rnacentral:misc_RNA from 1 species
AACAAGGCGUACCUGCGGACCUGCGGAGGGAUCAUCAUCGAAUUCAUAUCCUUCUCCGACCGGAGGAGGACCUAUGAUAAACCCUUAUGUGCACCGUAAACCGUUCACUUUGGCAGGCUUUGGUGGUGAGCGUGAGCUCGUCAACCUCGCGUUCCCUCCCUAGGGGGGUUGCGCGUGGCGGCCUGCCGGAGUCCUUCAAUGAAAAACACGUUUUCGAACACGACUGAAAUUUCCUUUGAG